GAAGCAGGCCGCCUUAUCGUUUCUGCAUUAGCAGAAGAGGAAAGUCCGGGCACCAUAGGGAAGCAUAGCGGCUAACGGCCGUCGCUCUUUUUAGCUUCGGUUAAAGAGGGUAGGACAAGUGCAGCAGAAAGUAUGUACAGGUAAUGCUGUAGUGAAACCAGGUAAACUCUAUGCGGUGAAAUGUCACGUAAACCUACGUUUAAGGGUUCCCGCCCGUUGUAGGAGGGUAGGCAGAUUGAGUGUAUUGGUAACAAUACAUCUAGAUAAAUGAUAAGGACUUGAAUUUAUUUGAGUACAGAACCCGGCUUAUAGGCCUGCUUUUUUU
rnacentral:RNase_P_RNA from 1 species